rnacentral:rRNA from 1 species
UAUUUUAAAUUGUAAAUUGUUUAUCUACCUAAGUAUUAUGAAUAGUAUUUAAAAUUUAAAGGACUUGGCGGUAUCUUAGACUGUUUAGGGGAACCUGUUUUUUAAUCGAUAAUCCUCGUUUUACCUUACCUUUUUUAUUUAGUUUGUAUACCGUCGUCGUCAGUUAACUUUGUUAGAAAGUAGAAGUUAUCUUUUUAAAUUUUUAUUUCAGAUGUCAGAUCAAGGUGCAGCUUAUGAAAUGGUAAAUAUGGGUUACAAUUAUUUAAUUAUAAUAUGGAUAAUAUUAUGAAAUUUAUUAUUUGAAGGAGGACUUAAAAGUAAUUUAAUUUAGAUAUAUUGAAUGAAUUAUGGCUCUUGGAUGUGCACACACCGCCCGUCACCCUCA